GACGAACGCUGGCGGCGUGCUUAACACAUGCAAGUCGAACGGAAAGGCCCCCUUGUGGGGUACUCGAGUGGCGAACGGGUGAGUAACACGUGAGUAACCUACCCUUGACUUUGGGAUAACUUCAGGAAACUGGGGCUAAUACCGGAUAGGAGCUCCUGCUGCAUGGUGGGGGUUGGAAAGUUUCGGCGGUUGGGGAUGGACUCGCGGCUUAUCAGCUUGUUGGUGGGGUAGUGGCUCACCAAGGCUUUGACGGGUAGCCGGCCUGAGAGGGUGACCGGCCACAUUGGGACUGAGAUACGGCCCAGACUCCUACGGGAGGCAGCAGUGGGGAAUAUUGCACAAUGGGCGGAAGCCUGAUGCAGCAACGCCGCGUGCGGGGUGACGGCCUUCGGGUUGUAAACCGCUUUCGCCUGUGACGAAGCGUGAGUGACGGUAAUGGGUAAAGAAGCACCGGCUAACUACGUG
rnacentral:rRNA from 1 species